AAUAACAGUGGCGCUUGCGCGGCUGAGGAGUGUGCGUCUGCGAUGGGGUUUCUGCGAAAUAGUGAUUGACGGAUAUGAAUUUUGUUGCUAACACCAAGAAGAUAUUACAGAGACGUAGCUACGACUUUCUCUCGCAGAAAUAUUCUAUUUUAUUGAUUACUUUAAUCAUUUUUUCAUUGUUAACCACUGUAAUACAAUUUGGUGAGGUGUGGUUACGUUGGAGCAAGGAGAAAUACGAAGCUGCGUUCAAUCCAUUUAGUGACAAUGUCAUCAAAAAACCACUACAGGAUAAGCUUUGCCAGCAUGUACCUAUUGAUGUUGUUUACACAUGGGUUAACGGUUCGGACCCUUUACUGCAAGGGCAACUUCGUGAGUAUGAAGAGAAGCUGCGAGAGGAGAAGCCGGCAGAGUGCCCUUACGCAGUCUGUUUGCCGUCACACAUUGUCACAGCGAGGUUCCCUAAUGAAGGGCCAGAAAAGGAAUAUGACAUCGCUCUGACCAACCUGUGGAAUAGAGAGAAAGUGCAAAACCCACCUGAGAAGAAUCAUUCUCUGAAUAGAACAAUCAUUUACUUCUCUGAUCCAGAAGAGGCAGGUGAUGUCGUCCAGCAGACAGUGAUGGUUAAGAAGGCUAAUGUUACUCUUUUUCAGGCUCACUGGACAUCAGAAAAAUUUGCCCCAGCUUCUUACCCUGUGAAGAAUACACUCAUAAUUACUGGCAUACCAUCAGUUGUCAUGCACAACAUAGAAAAUGAUAUUCGUGCUUUAUUUCAAAAAUAUGUGGGAGAUAACAUUGUCAAUGUUUGGAUGUACCCCAACAAUGGGACAUCUGUCAUAGAGCUGGGUACUGAGAAAGCGGCUACAGCAAUGAUGGAGCUAUCGAGAGGCACCCUGUAUUUGGAGGAAAUGAAAAUAACGGUCAGUAAUGCGUACAUAAUAAUGGAGCUGCCUUUUGCUAAUACGGAGAGUUUGGCACCAUCAAGAUUUGAGGACAAAGAGGAGUUGCGGUAUUCCCUGCGUUCUCUCGAGAAAUUUGCCCCGUGGGUUCGCCACGUGUAUGUGGUGACAAACGGCCAGAUACCUCACUGGUUAAACCUGGACAACCCACGUCUUACUGUGGUCCCUCACAACAAAAUAUUUCCCGACAUGUCUCAUUUGCCGACAUUCAGUAGUCCGGCAAUAGAAACUCACUUGCAUAGGAUUCCUGGCUUGUCAGAUAAAUUCUUAUAUUUCAAUGAUGAUGUGAUGCUUGGCAAGGAAGUUUGGCCAGAAGACUUUAUUACCUAUUCUAAAGGGCAGAAGGUAUACUUCUCAUGGUCAGUUCCAGACUGUUCAGUUUUAUGUCCAUGGUCUUACAUCAAUGAUGGCUCCUGUGAUGUUGCAUGUAACACUUCAGACUGCUUUUAUGACGGUGGCGACUGCGAUCUCGGAAAUGGAGAUGCCGGAAGUAAUGGUGGCGUGGAAAUGUAUGAUGAGAACAACCAGAGCAUGGAUGCUUUCAAUGAUGAUGGAUUUGACAGUCAGCUCAAUUUUGAAGACAAUAAUGACAAUCCAUUCAAGCACAUAAACUUUUUUGAUGACAUGGAUAGGAAAGAAGGAAGUCGCCAGGAGGAUUCAGUAGCUAAACUUUUUAACACCUCAGAAAGAGAAACACUUACAGAAAAUACUCUCAGUGCAAUUAACAGUGUUGAAGAAAAUAAUGAAUAUACUGAACCUGUAGCAUCAUCAUCUACAGCUCCUCAUGUUUCUGUAAGUCGCCAAACUAACUAUAAAUUCCAUUAUAACUAUGACAGAACAUUGUCACAUGAUUCAGUCACCAAAUUUCCUGUUGGUUCUAAUGAAACUGUAGGACCACUGACACCAGAUAACAGUGUGUCACUUGGUACUGGUCGGUUCUCAAGUGUUCCUGAUGUAAACAAAGAGGUUGAUGUUAAUGACUAUAACAGCACUAGAACAUUUGCUACCAAGUAUGUGGGCAAAUUUGUCAGUUCUAUCAAUAGGAAGCCAAACUCCAUUGAUGAUAACUUUCAACUUGCAGAUGAAACCAGACAUGUGAAAAACGCGGACGGAAGUUCUCACAAAACCAGACGCCAGUCAUCUUUGAGGAAAAACGUGAAAGAUAUGAUCAAACAAAACAGGAAAAAUUAUGGAAAAUACCACAGAUGGGACAGAACUAAUGUUGAAAAAAUUAUUCCUAAUGCUUCUAAACCAAGAAAGGCAUUUCUGGAGCGUGUUAAUGGCAUGAGUGUCACAGAAUUUCCUCACGAGAAACAGAAUUACAACCAAUUACGUGUUUAUCGAACACCUUACGGAAUAUCUCGAAAGGUGCUUAGAGACUCGUUUGCUGGGUCAUUGCUCUACGUAAAUCGCCUUUAUAGCAAGGAAUUUGGUUUUGAGGUGCGAAAAGUUCCUGCACAUAUGCCUCACCUCAUAGAUAAAAAGAUAAUGGAAGAUUUGCAGAGAAGAUUUCAGGACGAAUGGCUCUUGACCUCUUCGCAUAAGAUACGUAGAGCAAAUGAUAUGCAGUAUGCUUUCUCUUACUUUUAUUUUCUUAUGAGUGAAAAGAAGUCGCGAUCUGCUUCAGAGAUAUUUGACAUAUUUGACACUGAUCAGUCAGGAACAUUGUCUGACAGAGAAAUUAGGACACUUCUGGCGAGACUUUAUGAAUUGCCCAUUGGCUUUCACCGUGUUACAGCCUUUACCAACAAAGUAAUAAAUUGUUCUAGAACAGUGCCACAUGUAGUAUAUGAGAGAGAAGCAUUCACACCGAUGUAUGAGAGGUACCAGGACUCCAGGCUUGUAGCCUAUUGUGAGCAGACCACUUGUGGUGAAUUGUGGGCCAUUGGCGAAGUUGUUAACAUCCAAGUUUGGCUCAGUAAAAAGGUAUAAAUAUGAAAUAGUGAAAGAUAAACAUCAAGAUGUGACUUUCAAAAUGAUUAAUUCAAACAUAACCCACGUGGUCUCUGUUCUAGAUGAAAUACGGAAGGAACCAAAGAAAUUCAUAUGUCUGAAUGACAAUCUGGACCCUGCCGUUGAGAAAGUCAAUGAUGUGAUUCGUGCAGUUCUGCAGGACUUUUAUGAAGCACUGUUUCCUGCUCCAUCAUCUUUUGAACUGCCACCAGAAUACCGAAAU
rnacentral:misc_RNA from 1 species